CCUACGGGAGGCAGCAGUGGGGAAUAUUGGACAAUGGGCGCAAGCCUGAUCCAGCAAUGCCGCGUGAGUGAUGAAGGCCUUAGGGUCGUAAAGCUCUUUUACCAGGGAUGAUAAUGACAGUACCUGGAGAAUAAGCUCCGGCUAACUCCGUGCCAGCAGCCGCGGUAAUACGGAGGGAGCUAGCGUUGUUCGGAAUUACUGGGCGUAAAGCGUACGUAGGCGGUUAUUCAAGUCAGAGGUGAAAGCCCGGGGCUCAACCCCGGAACGGCCUUUGAAACUAGGUAGCUAGAAUCUUGGAGAGGUCAGUGGAAUUCCGAGUGUAGAGGUGAAAUUCGUAGAUAUUCGGAAGAACACCAGUGGCGAAGGCGACUGACUGGACAAGUAUUGACGCUGAGGUACGAAAGCGUGGGGAGCAAACAGGAUUAGAUACCCUGGUAGUCCACGCCGUAAACGAUGAUAACUAGCUGUCCGGGCACUUGGUGCCUGGGUGGCGCAGCUAACGCAUUAAGUUAUCCGCCUGGGGAGUACGGUCGCAAGAUUAAAAACUCAAAGGAAUUGACGG
rnacentral:rRNA from 1 species